rnacentral:rRNA from 1 species
GGAAUUGACGGGGAGCACCACAACGGGUGGAGCUUGCGGUUUAAUUGGAUUCAACGCCGGAAAUCUUACCGGGACCGACAGCAAUAUGAAGGCCGGGCUGAAGACUUUGCCGGAUUAGCUGAGAGGUGGUGCAUGGCCGUCGUCAGUUCGUACUGUGAAGCAUCCUGUUAAGUCAGGCAACGAGCGAGACCCACGCCCACAGUUGCCAGCGUACUCUCUGGAGUGACGGGUACACUGUGGGGACCGCCGCUGCUAAAGCGGAGGAAGGAAUGGGCAACGGUAGGUCAGUAUGCCCCGAAUAUCCCGGGCUACACGCGGGCUACAAUGGUCAGGACAAUGGGUAUCAACACCGAAAGGUGAAGGCAAUCUCCUAAACCUGUCCUUAGUUCGGAUUGUGGGCUGCAACUCGCCCACAUGAAGCUGGAAUCUGUAGUAAUCGCGUCUCAACAUGGCGCGGUGAAUAUGUCCCUGCUCCUU